GCAGACCCAGGAAACUGAAACAUCUAACUACCUGGAAGAAAACAAAGAAAAAUCGAUUGCCUGAGUAGCGGCGAGCGAAACGGAAAGAGCCCGAACCAAGAAGCUUGCUUCUUGGGGUUGUAGGACACUCUAUACGGAGUUACAAAAGAAAGUAAUAAAUGAAGCGGUCUGGAAAGGCCCGCCAAAGACGGUAACAGCACGGUAGUUGAAAUGGCUUUCCCUCCAGAGUGGAUCCUGAGUACGGCGGAACACGUGAAAUUCCGUCGGAAUCCGGGAGGACCAUCUCCCAAGGCUAAAUACUCCCUAGUGACCGAGAGUGAACCAGUACCGUGAGGGAAAGGUGAAAAGCACCCCGGAAGGGGAGUGAAACAGUUCCUGAAACCGUGUGCCUACAAGUAGUUAGAGCCCGUUAAUGGGUGAUAGCGUGCCUUUUGUAGAAUGAACCGGCGAGUUACGAUUUGUUGCAAGGUUAAGCGGAAAAAGCGGAGCCGUAGCGAAAGCGAGUCUGAAUAGGGCGCAUAAGUAACAGGUCGUAGACCCGAAACCAGGUGAUCUACCCAUGUCCAGGAUGAAGGUAAGGUAAUACUUACUGGAGGUCCGAACCCACGCACGUUGAAAAGUGCGGGGA
rnacentral:rRNA from 1 species